GUGGUUUAAUAUGAGAAAUCCGGGUGAAUAGUAUUCCUAAUCCCUGUGCGUAGGUUCGAAUCCUACCGGGGGCACCA
rnacentral:tRNA from 1 species